rnacentral:rRNA from 1 species
UACGAAGGGGGCUAGCGUUGCUCGGAAUCACUGGGCGUAAAGGGUGCGUAGGUGGGUCUUUAAGUCAGGGGUGAAAUCCUGGAGCUCAACUCCAGAACUGCCUUUGAUACUGAGGAUCUUGAGUUCGGGAGAGGUGAGUGGAACUGCGAGUGUAGAGGUGAAAUUCGUAGAUAUCGGGAGGAACACCUGUGGCGAAAGCGGCGCACUGGACCAUAACUGACGCUGAGGCGCGAAAGCUAGGGGAGCAAACAGG